GCCAUCCCUUCUGUGGGGCUCACUCCUGACUGCUGCUCCCAAACAGUGCAGUGUGAAAAGUUACAGCCACUCCUAACUUCACCUUCUUGGUUGCCUCUGUCUAUCCUUUGGUCUUCAUUUUAAGGGUUUCCAUCUGUUGAGAUCAAAUGUGAAAAAGAACUGCCUGAAUCAUACAUUUAAUUUGGUGCAAUGAAGAUGCAAAUGGCAACGUAGCAGGGACAGACCACAAACUUUCCACUCAGAUUUAAAAUUAAUUGGAGUUCCCAUUGUGGCCCAGUGGUUAACAAAUCCGACUAGGAACCAUGAGGUUGCGGGUUCGAUCCCUGGCCUUGCUCAGUGG
rnacentral:lncRNA from 1 species